rnacentral:rRNA from 1 species
UACGGCCACAUCACGUUAAAACACCAGUUCCCGUAAGAUCACCGAAGUUAAGCAACGUCGAGCUUGGUCAGUACCCAGAUGGGUGAUCGCUUGGAAAUAUUAGUUGCC